GAUGAACGCUGGCGGCGUGCCUAAUACAUGCAAGUCGAGCGAACAGACGAGGAGCUUGCUCCUCUGACGUUAGCGGCGGACGGGUGAGUAACACGUGGAUAACCUACCUAUAAGACUGGGAUAACUUCGGGAAACCGGAUCUAAUACCGGAUCAUAUAUUGAACCGCAUGGUUCAUUAGUGAAAGACGGUUUUGCUGUCCCUUAUAGAUGGAUCCGCGCCGCAUUAGCUAGUUGGUAAGGUAACGGCUUACCAAGGCAACGAUGCGUAGCCGACCUGAGAGGGUGAUCGGCCACACUGGAACUGAGACACGGUCCAGACUCCUACGGGAGGCAGCAGUAGGGAAUCUUCCGCAAUGGGCGAAAGCCUGACGGAGCAACGCCGCGUGAGUGAUGAAGGUCUUCGGAUCGUAAAACUCUGUUAUUAGGGAAGAACAAAUGUGUAAGUAACUAUGCACGUCUUGACGGUACCUAAUCAGAAAGCCACGGCUAACUACGUG
rnacentral:rRNA from 1 species